rnacentral:lncRNA from 1 species
UUUUGGGUGGCUCUAGUUCACCAUGACUUUAUCUUAGCACUUUAAUUUUUCUUUAGUAUUUUUAUAAUUGCAUGAGUACUUUUUGAAAUUUAAGUGUGUUUUUAAUCAAAUUGGUUUACCAACAUUUCUAUUUAAUUGUUCUUACGCUUAAGUCAAGCCUAAAGCAACCAAGAAUUGUUCGCAAAGAAAGAAGCAUAGGAUACUUCGAGUGGUGAUGAUAAGAAUUAGUGUCGGCAUUUCAAGGUACACUUUAUCGCUUUCUAGACUUAACAUGAGUAGGUUGAUGUUGUGUGCAAAUUCCAUUUCAUAAAUUCAUUGAAGUAUAUGUCAGCUUUGAAUCAAAAUAGGACUUAACCAUUUGUGAGGAAACUUUCCAUUGUGCACUAAAAAAGCGGGAAACCGAGCAUUAUUUUGACUCAUUCUUAUCAUGCUAAAUCAUGCAUCAAUCUAAUGUUGUGUGAAAUUUUUGAAAAUGAUAGAGGCAAUUUUUGUGAGAAAAACCACUUGACCAAAAAGCUUAAAUCAACGAACCUUGUGAGGAGUAAUCCUUAGUUAACCCCCUUUGAGCUUGUUAGGAUUCAUUUGAUUGAUCAUUGUAAAAUCAAUUGAAAAUUGUGGAAUAAAUGAAUCCUAAUUUCUUUCGCAUCAGUUGAAACCUCAAACCGAGUUGUUUGCAAAAAUUUUGCCUUUUGCUUAUGUUUAAGUAGGGAGCAUUAUUGAAUAAAUUUGGUUGUGGAAUCUAAAGUUGGGGAGAGUAAAGUGAAGAGUUGAUUAGGAACUUGGAAAAGUGAGUCUCUAUGGAAGGGUAAGAAUAUGAAAAGAAACAAGAAAAAGAAAUCACCCUUGAAACCAUAGAGCAUGAAAAAAAAAAAAAAAAAAAAAAAAAAUGCUCAUGGUUGUGUGGAUUUGAAAAGAAAAAGAAAAAGAAAAAGAUAGGGAUCAAAGAAAGGGAAAU